rnacentral:lncRNA from 1 species
CCGGAAGUAGAACAUUUAUGUCAACACCGGUUUCGUAUUUUCACGUGAAAACGACCGAAAACUGAGAGGUUAUCAACAAAUUAUAAGUUUACGGGUUCCAUGAGGAUUUUUCUUGCAUUUAAACGACAGAAGUACAAGUGAACAGAUGACAUAUUAAAGUGGCUGCAGAAGCUUGAAAAGUUAGAUAGAGCAGGGGCAGUCAAAUUAGUGGGAUAAUACUUCUAUGGUGUCCAACAUGUCUAGUCAGGUUGACAGAAGUGAAAGAUGGUCUGAUGGUACAAUGAUGUACAAAUGAUACUCUUUAACAAGUUUAAGAUGUCAAGGUGUAAAAUGUUCUGUGGAUUCAUAUGAUGAGAAUGCCAGUGUUGAUCUGUCUGACUUAAUUAAACACAGAUAUUGAUACCUUCAGAUAUAUACCUGUGAAAUCUUCAGUGUCACCGUUCAGCUAUUGUUCAAGAUCAGUGUCUGCAGCUUGCACAGUUUAGUAUAGAGGAGCCUUCUGAAUCAAUUUUGUUACAUAUUUGCUGUUAUUGUAGGACACACAUGUAGAGAG